AAUGAGAAGGAAAUAGAUCUAGUAUUUGGAAUAAGUGGCUGAUCAGACCUUACCAUUCUUCUCAGGUUUAUGUCUUAAUUCCACCAGCCUGCUCUAAGGGUCUGAGUAAUAGAAACAUGUUAUUUUAGUAGUGGAGAGUGUUCAGAAAAUGUCUGCAACUUCUGCAGAACCAAAAGGAGCAAAACAGUAGGAGUUAAAGGAUGGUAUCAGGUUAAAUAAAGCCACCCUGAAUUGUGUAGCAUCACUAAAACUGGAAAAGAUUAAUGGCUCAAUUAAACAUGUAUUUAACUUGGCUUCAUGAUUAUAAUGUUAGUAGUCUUUGUUGCAAUGAUAAAGUAGAGAAAAUAUUUUUUAAAAAUGAAGUAUUCCAGAUAUGGAAAAAAUGGAAUGCAAUCUGAUACAGAUUGUGCUUAAAACUUUAUAAAGAACUUUGCUUGCUUUUGCUCUGCAAGCAAUGGAAAAAUAGUUUGAAGUGCAUUUUGUUGGACAUGUAGUAACAGUUUAAUCCUCACUGUAUACUUCAGACGCAAAAGUUAAUUAGAAAACUAAUUUAGUUAUUACAUUUCUCAGUGAAUCAGUUUCAUGAACUAAAACCAAAUUUGUUUUUAAUCGUGUUCAUGGCUUUGUGCAGUAAAUGGACUAUUGGUUAUCCUUAGUCCUUAUAGUGCUUGAAUUAUGAAGGAAGUUAGAAGAAAACUGAAAACGUCUGUUUUCAAGUUGCUUUGAGAUAGCAUGGUGACACCUUAAUGUAAUUGCAGGCUGUUUCCUAUCUGAAACCACAGCAUCCAUGUCUUGCAGACUUUCUUUGUGAAAUAAUGUGCUUUGGGAACCUGCUCAUGAGAGCCUUCGCACUGACAUAUUAGCUGUUCUGCAUGUGAUUUUUAAGUAACUUUUGAACUCUAACAUUAGACCAACAUACACAUAGUAAACCUAAGGUAUGACAGCUACUAAGUAAGCAGAUGUCUGAUAAUAUUCCUGAUCUAACUGACUAUAUCUACCUUAUUGUUUGUCUGUCUGUCUCAUCAUGCAAACUGAUCUAAGAGUGCCUCUAUACAUUGCAAGAUGCUGGUUAACUAUGGAACCUUGUGGUUUGUGGCGGGAAGGAUUUACUUGUGAAUUAAUACUUCGUCUAUGACUACUGCUAGAGAAACAUUGAACAGGAGGAUACUCUUCUCAAAUGUGGUCCUAUUGUUAACGGGGAGCUCAGUUUGACUGUGCAUUAUAAAACUUGUUUAUGGAAUGUCUUUAUAUAGUACUCUUUUGGUCCUGGCAGAUUCUAUAUGAAUCAAGUCCAAGGCAGAAAGCUUUAGUGCCGCUCCUCUACCUUGUGUUAGUAUCAUUCUGUUACUCAGCAAUGUUUGUUGAACUGUCUGCCAGCAAGAAUCUUUCUUGAUCUGGCAUGCAAGUAGUACAUGUUACUGGUCAGUGGCUCAGCAGGGACACCUCCUUACUCAAACAAAUAGUCUCUGGUAUUAUGUCAUUUCUGUGAUGCUACUUUCAUAUAUAAAUGAACACUAGAAAACCUUUAACUCAUUAAUGUUAGGUUGUAUUUUAUAACUGGUAAUCUCUGCUUCUCUUUGUAAGAUGAUUGUAGGGAGAUGCGCAGGAAUAUUGUGCACCAUGGAUCUAGUCCUCACUUUGUAUAACAACAGAGACCAAAGUCUAAGUUUGGGAGGAGUGACUACCCUUAUACAAUGCUUAUGCCACCAGGGAGAGGUCAUCUCUAGCCUCCAGAAAGAUCCUGUGGAUAAAAUGUGACAUUGUGUGGUCACGAACUGCUUGUUUUUUGUAAAGGGAAAUGAGAUGCUGCCAGUACGGUAACUGCUGAUGCUUUCCCAGGCUGCCACUGGGUGGUAGUAAGUGAGCAUAAUUUAAUACACUGUAUCUGUUGUUGAAGUUCCUAUAGGCUGUACUUGGCUUUUAUAUUGUUUAAAUUAAUAAUGAAAAUUCA